UACGAAGGGUGCAAGCGUUACUCGGAAUUACUGGGCGUAAAGCGUGCGUAGGUGGUUUGUUAAGUCUGCUGUGAAAGCCCCGGGCUCAACCUGGGAAUGGCAGUGGAUACUGGCAAGCUAGAGUGCGGUAGAGGGGUGUGGAAUUCCCGGUGUAGCGGUGAAAUGCGUAGAGAUCGGGAGGAACACCAGUGGCGAAGGCGGCACCCUGGACCAACACUGACACUGAGGCACGAAAGCGUGGGGAGCAAACAGG
rnacentral:rRNA from 1 species